GACAGAGGAGCCAAGCGUUGUCCGGAUUGACUGGGCGUAAAGCGCACGCAGGCGGAUGCGCGCGUGGGGUGUGAAAUCUGGCCGCUUAACGGCCAGGCGCCAUCCCAUACGGCGCGUCUGGAGUGAUGCAGAGGUCGAUGGAAUUGCCGGUGUAGUGGUGAAAUGCGUAGAGAUCGGCAGGAACACCCAGGGGGAAACCAGUCGACUGGGCAUCUACUGACGCUGGGGUGCGAGAGCGUGGGGAGCGAACCGG
rnacentral:rRNA from 1 species